CUUUAUAUUCCAGGAAGUGCUGCUGGCCUGCCUCUUAGAGGUGCAAGCCACCACACCUAGCUGGAUCACAGACAUUCUUCCAGACGUGGUAUUCCCAGUGGGUUGAAAUUUAGGCAGCAGAAAUUUUACAGGAGAAAAUUCCUCUCAGCAGAACAAGAAAAUAUACCAAAGUUGUUUUGGUCCAGCAUCUGCAAAGAAUGAAAACUUAAUUCAUGGAAUGAAUGCAAAGCUUGUUUGAUCCACAAUGGAAAUGAUGAGUAAAGUUACAGACAAUGUUAAGACUAAAGUAGGUGGUUACCUCUAGUUUAGAUGUCUCUGAUCAGCCAGUUUGACACACCACCAAUGAUAAAUAUGCUGUAAGGGAUUGCAUAUAUACCAGUUAUAACCAUUAAUUUGCUAGCAAAACCUAAUAGGGGUUGGAUCCACUGUAGAUAAUAUUAUAUUAAAAAUGAGAGAGAGAAAAAUGUCAACCAGAACAUCCAGAUAAUAUUUUAUAAAAGUCGGAUCUUAUAACCCAGGGGAAAAACAAUACAGGUGUGGGAUACAUUAUCCACAAAACCCAUUAUCCAGAAAGCUCUGAAUUUCAGGAAGGCUAUUUCCCAUACCCUUUAUUUUAAUUAAAUAACUUAAAAUUUAAAAAAUGGUUUCCUUUUUGUCUGUAAUGAUUAAAUAGUACCUUGUAUUUAAACCCAUCAAAGAUAUAAUUAUUCCUUAUAGGAGGCAAAACAAUUCUAGUGGUUUAAUAAAUGUUUAAAUAAUUUUAUGUAGACUUAAACUAUGGUGAUCCAAAUUAAGGAAAGAUCCAAAAAACCCCAGGUCCUGAGUAUUCUGGAUAACAGGUACCAUAUCAGGUUUAAUACCAUUUUUUCUGUCCUCAAAAAAGAGGAUAAACCAGCUUUAUCUGGGAGGAAUGCUUUCCAACUUCAUGUCUGCUUGGUCUCAAACAUCAUACAUUCUUUUGUGUAAUUGGCUUGAUGAAAAGCGGUAGGCAUGUUAUUGUGAGUGAAGGUGAAUUAAGUUCUUAUACCAGGCCAGUGGUCGAGGCAGGCAGAUAACAAGUCUGUGAAGCAGGCAGGUGGCAAACAGUAGCAAAUCCAUGUAGUAGGCAAAGGGUCUGGGUAGGCAGUGAGCAAGAGCAAGUCGGAAUAGCAGGCAAGGGUCAAACAAGAAAAUUAGAUGAAGAUCAAAGGCAAGGCAGGAACUUAGUAACUCAGGAAGGGGUUAGAUCACAGAAUUAGACUCAAUGAUCAAACAGUAAGGGGUAGGAAGAGGCUGGCUUAAAUAAGCCCUUGAUGUCAGGAUUGGUGACACCUGGCUUUAACAACCAUAGAGGUGGAGGUGAUGCAGACAGAGGGGGUAGCCUGUGUUUAUCAGGAUUAUCAUCAGUGGCAAACUCCAAAAGCCUCCACUAGCUAGCAACCAAGUCCAGAACCAAGACCAGAGUUCAAUUUUAGAAAAACCUUAUUAAUUUACUGUGGGCCAUUGGAUGAAAUCUUGAAUUUAUGAUUCAAACCGCAUUAAUGCAGUGACAGCAUCUACCUCAGUCAAAGCCCUCACAUCUAGGGCUGUAGCAGUGUCUUGGUCUUUCAAUGCUGAUAAGUCAUUUCAAAAGAAGUACACAUCUUUAAAUACUUCCUAACAUUUUAUAAGAUGACCAAUGGGCUAAUAUUGAGUGCUUCAGACAGCAGUUAGGUCUAGGUUUUUUCUACACCAGUCAGUUUUGUUGUUGCCACUGAGCACUUCUUCACUGCCAUUCAUUGCAUAAAGGAAUAGCUAAGUGGGAUGGGCAGUUAGAAAGUCAUUUUCUGUGCUGCAAAACAUGAGGGGUUCAGUCAUGCCAUUGGUGCCAAUGUUCUGUUGUAAGAAAAAAAAGGUCUCAGUCAGUAAUUUAGGAUUUUCUCUUAUUCGUUAUCAAACAUGGUUCUUUAGAGCAAUUGUGGGAGGAAGAGUAGGAAGUUAAUAACCAUUUUAAUUGACAUGUUAAGGAACCGCCCCAGUGUAAAAGUGCCUUCUACCAUUAUAUGUUAAUAUGGAUCAUAUCUACUGUGUCACUGACGAGCAUAUACUAUUAAUACUGAGCUGAAAUAGCAGGUUCUUAUUAACUUGUCUGAUCACUUUAAGUUGCUAUCAAUUUGCCUCUCGUAGACAAAGCAGAUAUUUGCCUGACAUGGAUUAACUCUGGGGGUCAUUUACGUAACAACAGUUUGCAAAGUGCAAAAAAAGUUUGCAAUUCACAAUGAUACUGUUCCUAGCACAUUGCAUUCUUGUCCUCUACCAUCCCCUAAUUUGUACAUCAUUCAAACAGGCAAUUUAGGAAUCG